AGAAGGCCUAUUCAGCUGCCAGAAGUGCAGGCAGUUCGUCCAGAUUCCCAGCAAGAAGAUCCAUGGAUUCCAAGAUUAAACAGUGGCUGCAUACCACAUCGACACGUCCCGGAGACAAGUGUGCAGAGAGCACGAGCAACACCUCCCAAUCUUCCAGCAAGCUUGGCCAGAGGACCCCCAGAAGUGCCCAACACUGAGCAGCUAGAUUCGCCCCCAAGGGAUCCCCCAAGUAUCCUCCCAACAG